rnacentral:tRNA from 1 species
GCGGUCGUGGCGGAAUUGGCAGACGCACCAGCUUGAGGGGCUGGCGGGGGCAACCUCGUGAGGGUUCGAGUCCCUCCGUCCGCACCA